AUUGAACGCUGGCGGCAGGCCUAACACAUGCAAGUCGAGCGGAUGAAGGGAGCUUGCUCCUGGAUUCAGCGGCGGACGGGUGAGUAAUGCCUAGGAAUCUGCCUGGUAGUGGGGGAUAACGUCCGGAAACGGGCGCUAAUACCGCAUACGUCCUGAGGGAGAAAGUGGGGGAUCUUCGGACCUCACGCUAUCAGAUGAGCCUAGGUCGGAUUAGCUAGUUGGUGGGGUAAAGGCCUACCAAGGCGACGAUCCGUAACUGGUCUGAGAGGAUGAUCAGUCACACUGGAACUGAGACACGGUCCAGACUCCUACGGUAGGCCGCAGUGGGGAAUAUUGGACAAUGGGCGAAAGCCUGAUCCAGCCAUGCCGCGUGUGUGAAGAAGGUCUUCGGAUUGUAAAGCACUUUAAGUUGGGAGGAAGGGCAGUAAGUUAAUACCUUGCUGUUUUGACGUUACCAACAGAAUAAGCACCGGCUAACUUCGUG
rnacentral:rRNA from 1 species